UACGUAGGGCGCGAGCGUUGUCCGGAUUUAUUGGGCGUAAAGAGCUCGUAGGCGGCUUGUCGCGUCGGCUGUGAAAACUCGGGGCUUAACCCCGGGCCUGCAGUGGGUACGGGCAGACUAGAGUGCGGUAGGGGAGACUGGAAUUCCUGGUGUAGCGGUGAAAUGCGCAGAUAUCAGGAGGAACACCGGUGGCGAAGGCGGGUCUCUGGGCCGAUACUGACGCUGAGGAGCGAAAGCGUGGGGAGCGAACAGG
rnacentral:rRNA from 1 species